rnacentral:rRNA from 1 species
AGUGAACGCUGGCGGUAGGCCUAACACAUGCAAGUCGAACGGCAGCACAGUAAGAGCUUGCUCUUACGGGUGGCGAGUGGCGGACGGGUGAGGAAUACAUCGGAAUCUACUUUUUCGUGGGGGAUAACGUAGGGAAACUUACGCUAAUACCGCAUACGACCUACGGGUGAAAGCAGGGGAUCUUCGGAACUUGCGCGAUUGAAUGAGCCGAUGGCGGAUUAGCUAGUUGGCGGGGUAAAGGCCCAUCAAGGCGACGAUCCGUAGCUGGUCUGAGAGGAUGAUCAGCCACACUGGAACUGAGACACGGUCCAGACUCCUACGGGAGGCAGCAGUGGGGAAUAUUGGACAAUGGGCGCAAGCCUGAUCCAGCCAUACCGCGUGGGUGAAGAAGGCCUUCGGGUUGUAAAGCCCUUUUGUUGGGAAAGAAAAGCAGCAGGUUAAUACCCCGCUGUUCUGACGGUACCCAAAGAAUAAGCACCGGCUAACUUCGUG